rnacentral:miRNA from 1 species
ACCAAUUAUAUGUAUAUGUGUGCAUGUGUACAUACAUAUGUACACAUGCCAUCCAAAGUGUGUGUGUCUGUGUGUGUGUAUAUAUAUGUACACACACACACACAUAUAUAUAUAUAUAUAUU